ACCUGGUUAGCUCAAUUGGUAGAGCGCUCCACCUGUAAUGGAGAGAUCCCGGGUUCGAUACCCGGACCAGGCG
rfam:Ixodes scapularis strain Wikel colony gcontig_1108379224666, whole genome shotgun sequence.